GGUUGUGGCUCAGAGGUAGAGCACUUGCCUAGCAUGCAUGAGGCACUGGAUUCAAUCCUUAUCACAUUA
rnacentral:tRNA from 1 species